rnacentral:lncRNA from 1 species
CGGGUGCUGGAAGAAGUACUUGUGCCCUGCAGUCGACCAUUUUACUUUAGAUACAAAAUACGUAUGUAUUCUGCUUCUGUUUGAAGUGAACGGAUACAUAUGUAUCAUUAUAAAUAUUACAGCUUACUUUGCGGUUCACGUUAAAAUAUUGCCAAUUUUAUUGAAAAGUAACGGCGGUAAAAUAAAGGUUCAUAUUUUCAUUGGUAAAUUGUAAAUUGUCGGCUAAACAUUU